rnacentral:rRNA from 1 species
GAUGAACGCUGGCGGCGUGCUUAACACAUGCAAGUCGAACGAAGCACUUUAUUUGAUUUCCUUCGGGACUGAUUAUUUUGUGACUGAGUGGCGGACUGGUGAGUAACGCGUGGGUAACCUGCCUUGUACAGGGGGAUAACAGUUGGAAACGGCUGCUAAUACCGCAUAAGCGCACGGCAUCGCAUGAUGCAGUGUGAAAAACUCCGGUGGUAUAAGAUGGACCCGCGUUGGAUUAGCUAGUUGGUGAGGUAACGGCCCACCAAGGCGACGAUCCAUAGCCGACCUGAGAGGGUGACCGGCCACAUUGGGACUGAGACACGGCCCAAACUCCUACGGGAGGCAGCAGUGGGGAAUAUUGCACAAUGGGUGAAAGCCUGAUGCAGCGACGCCGCGUGAGCGAAGAAGUAUUUCGGUAUGUAAAGCUCUAUCAGCAGGGAAGAUAAUGACGGUACCUGACUAAGAAGCACCGGCUAAAUACGUG